rnacentral:rRNA from 1 species
GACGAACGCUGGCGGCGUGCUUAACACAUGCAAGUCGAACGGAAAGGCCCUGCUUUUGUGGGGUGCUCGAGUGGCGAACGGGUGAGUAACACGUGAGUAACCUGCCCUUGACUUUGGGAUAACUUCAGGAAACUGGGGCUAAUACCGGAUAGGAGCUCCUGCUGCAUGGUGGGGGUUGGAAAGUUUCGGCGGUUGGGGAUGGACUCGCGGCUGAUCAGCUUGUUGGUGGGGUAGUGGCUUACCAAGGCUUUGACGGGUAGCCGGCCUGAGAGGGUGACCGGCGACAUUGGGACUGAGAUACGGACCAGACUCCUACGGGAGGCAGUAGUGGGGAAUAUUGCACAAUGGGCGGAAGCCUGAUGCAGCAACGCCGCGUGCGGGAUGACGGCCUUCGGGUUGUAAAACGCUUUCGCCUGUGACGAAGCGUGAGUGACGGUAAUGGGUAAAGAAGCACCGGCUAACUACGUG